GACGAACGCUGGCGGCGUGCUUAACACAUGCAAGUCGAACGAAGAGCGAUGGCAGCUUGCUUCUCUCAAUCUUAGUGGCGAACGGGUGAGUAACGCGUACUCAACCUGCCCUUCAGAGGGGGACAACAGUUGGAAACGACUGCUAAUACCGCAUACGAUCUAAUCUCGGCAUCGAUGAUAGAUUAAAGGUGGCCGCUACAUGUAAGCUACCACUGAAGGUGGUGAUUGCGUCAGAUUAGCUAGUUGGAUGGGUAACGGCCCACCAAGGCGAUGAGCAGUAGCAGGACUGAGAGGAUGAACGGCCACAUUGAGACUGAGACACGGCACAGACGCCUACGGGAGGCAGCAGUGGGGAAUCUUCCGCAAUGGACGAAAGUCUGACGGAGCAACGCCGCGUGAGUGAUGACGGCCGUCGGGUUGGAAAGCUCGGUUAAUCGGGACGAAAGGCCUUCUUGCGAAUAGUGAGAAGGAUUGACGGUACCGGAAUAGAAAGCCACGGCUAACUACGUG
rnacentral:rRNA from 1 species